rnacentral:lncRNA from 1 species
CCCGUUGACCCUUUUCCCGGUGCACUUGGGUGCAUUUUUACGUUUUCACCUUGGAAUGCAAAACAAAAUGAUCGAGGAUGCAAAGAUGCGCUCGGCGCUGCCAAGUUGAUCGGAGAUUCCACUGGAUUUUGAAUCUCCGACGAGAGUGGUCCGCAAUGCGCGGCAACCGUGUGUUCAAUUGAAUUAGCCUAUUAGGCAAUCUCAUGUAAAUAAAGCGCUCAAUCGGCCCCUUCAAUUCGUGACGUAGGCAGUCCGUCUAGCCGCGUCUGUGUUUUGUUUUGUUUACGUUUUUCACUUUUUAUUCAUCUCCCUCCGGCCCAGGUGCAUCUGAAACGCGCGUCUUGAUGUGUGCCUCCGUGCGCGAUUACAGACAGUGCUCGCGCUCGCCAUGUGAAACCCGAAUAAUUCGUAUCAUGUUGAUAUGAAAGCCUAUUUGGUGGUUAUCAUAUUAGUUAUCGAUCAGUGUUUUUUAAUCAGUUUCGGGUUGCACACUGCUUCAACUGAAGGAAAUGAUGGCUCAGUGGAUUUGAUGGUCCCAAAACGCAAAAUCAGCCGAGACAUCCAUUCGGUUCAACCAGAUUUCAACGCAGAAGCGACGUUACCUAAACCCAGUGAAGAUGAAAUUGUCUCUCUUCUCUCUAUCAAAUCACAAAAAUCAAAGCCAAAGAACCACUGCCAAAGCCCUGCCCUAUAACAAAUCCCGCUACUAAUGUUAUUUCAAUAAUAAGCAAGUAUGAGGCUUUCAAUGCCCAAAGUCGAAGUCAAGAGCACGAUUAUACCUCUCAUGAAACUCUGGUGACCGCAAAACAGUCGAGUUCCGAAGAAGGUGAAGAAAAACCCAAGAUUAGUUCAGCAGACACAGACGGAAGUACGAUUGUAUCUUCACAACUAUCCAAAGUUGAUCCACAAGAUGACGAUGACCUAAAGAAAAGCAAAUUGAAUGCUCCACCUACGAAAACAGUGGCUUGGUCUCCAUCAGUUCUUUCAAGCUCUGACAGCUCAGAACCUAGUGAAAGUGAUCUAAGAAGCCCAG